rnacentral:misc_RNA from 1 species
GAUGAAGAACGCAGCGAAAUGCGAUAAGUAAUGUGAAUUGCAGAAUUUAGUGAAUCAUCGAAUCUUUGAACGCACAUUGCGCCCGCCGGCACUCCGGCGGGCAUGCCUGUCCGAGCGUCAUUUCAACCCUCGGGCCCACCCUUCGCGGGGAACGGGCCCGGCGUUGGGGACCGGAGGCCGCCUCGGCGGCACCCGCCCCCUAAAUUCAGUGGCGGUCGCGCCGCAGCCUCCCCUGCGUAGUAGCACACCUCGCACCGGAGAGCGGCACGGCCACGCCUCGAAACCCCCCAAUUUUUUCAGGUUGACCUCGGAUCAGGUAGGAAUACCCGCUGAACUUAAGCAUAUCAAUAAGCGGAGGA